GAUGAACGCUGGCGGCGUGCUUUAGGUAUGCAAGUCGAGCGGUCUGGCUUCGGCCAGACAGCGGCAGACGGGUGAGUAACGCGUAGGAAUCUGCCCUUUGAUGGGGAAUAGCCCCGGGAAACCGGGAGUAAUACCGCAUAAGGUACAAGCAUUUUACAUGCUUGUACGAAAGGCCAUAACUGGUCGUCGAAGGAUGAGCCUGCGUCCUAUCAGCUUGUUGGUGGGGUAAUGGCCCACCAAGGCGAUGACGGGUAGCUGGACUGAGAGGUCGGUCAGCCACAAGGGCACUGAGACACGGGCCCUACACCUACGGGUGGCAGCAACCGGGAAUAUUGCGCAAUGGGCGAAAGCCUGACGCAGCGACGCCGCGUGGGGGAUGAAGGUCUUCGGAUUGUAAACCUCUUUUAAGGGGGAGAAAGAGGCUGGGUAGUGCCAAUUAAUCAACUACCUAAUUAACGGUUGAUUAAGUAGUGUAUUAAGUUGUGUAUUAAUAGUUAUUAGUUGGUAGUGCCCAGCCUUUGAUAGUACCCCUCGAAUAAGCACCUGCAAACUACGUGCCAGCAGCUGCGGUGAGACGUAGGGUGCAAGCGUUAUCCGGAUUUAUUGGGCGUAAAGCGUUCGUAGGCGGAUAGCUAAGUCUUUUCUUAAAUCUCAAGGCUUAACCUUGAAAAUGGAGGAGAUACUGGCUUUCUAGAGGGUAGAAGGGGGUGCUGGAACUUGCGGUGUAGGGGUGAAAUCCGUUGAGAUCGCAAGGAACGCUGAGGGCGAAGGCAAGCACCUGGGAUACUUCUGACGCUGAGGGACGAAAGCUAGGGGAGCGAAAGGGAUUAGAGACCCCUGUAGUCCUAGCCGUAAACGAUGUCCGCUAGUUGUGGGGUCGAGACUUCGACCCCGUGACCAAGGUAACCCGUUAAGCGGACCGCCUGGGAAGUACGACCGCAAUGUUGAAACUCAAAGGAAUUGACGGGGAGGCGCACAACCAGUGGAGCAUGUGGUUUAAUUCGAUACGAAGCGAUGAACCUUACCUGGGUUUGACAUUCCGAUGACAUACCCGAGAAACCGGGCUUUCCGCAAGGACAUCGGGACAGCUGCUGCAUGGCUGUCGUCAGCUCGUGCCGUGGGGUGUCGGCUUAAGUGCCGUAACGAGCGCAACCCUUGUCCCGUGUUAAAUUUUCACGGGAGACUGCGGUCGAAUCUUCGACCGAGGAAGGAGAGGAUGACGUCAAGUCAGCAUGGUGCUUAUGCCCAGGGCAACACACAUCCUACAAUGGCUGCGACAAUGGGUUGCUAAACCGCAAGGUGGAGCUAAUCCCAAAAAGGCAGCCUCAGUUCAGAUUGUGGGCUGAAAUCCGCCCACAUGAAGUUGGGAUUGGUAGUAAUCGCGGAUCAGCAGGCCGCGGUGAAUACGUUCUCGCCUCUUGUACACACCGCCCGUCAAGCCAGCAAAGUCGGGGGCACCCGAAUUCCGAUGUUAUGUCGGAAGAAGGUGAAUUCGGCGAUGAGGACU
rnacentral:rRNA from 1 species